CCAACUUGAGAGAAUGACUGUCCAUCAUGCUUCCAGAUUUAACGCCGGUUAUGACUGGAAACACGAUCAGCAGCUUUUCGGUCCUUAGUAAUACUAAAGGCGUAGCAUCUUAGCAGCUCUUGGAUGUGGCAGUGCUGCUCCUUGUCCAGGCUCUUCCACCUCGUCAACGCUAUCGGCCCACCAUCAUGAUCACCUUCAUAUACGCGUAUGACGCGUUCUCUUACAACUACUCCGAUGCUCGCCCAAAUCGAAAGCCCCAAGUGUUGAGUACUUGUGGCAACCCCACACAAUCGCCACGAUGGCCCCGAAGUUUCAGAGAGCUCUAUCCAAUGGGGCGAACAAGGAGAGAAAUCUUUUCAAGAACGCGUACUCGCGAGUCAUCGUUUUGACAAGUGCGGUUGCCUUGUCGGGGAUGGUGUCGAAGAGGAAGGUGUCGGCUUCACUUUCCAAGUUCGACUGGUCAGUUGUUCGGUGAAGAAGGGCGUGAAGGUUACCCAGAGUCUGGAUUCAUGACUGAGUGGCUCCGGCGGAAACCACGGGACGGCAAAAUCCUAGACGAUCAAGGGCAUGGUUAUAAUGGGCUGGUGUUUGUGGAGCCUCGAAAGUCGAAUCGGCAUGGAGGACGGGCAGUAUCACGUCUGGCUUCAGCUCGGCCGGGACGUCGAGCCGUUCACUCAGUUCCUUGUGCCUGGUCUAUCUGUCACCUUAUUGGACAGUAAGACGGCAUGAGGCGGGCAGACUUGACGCCUAGCUAGGGAGUGAAUAGUCAAGAGGCUGUAGAAGAUGAAGAGGCUCGUCUCUCACUGAUAGAUGCCAUGGGGGUAAGCAAGGCGGUCCGAAUGAGUAAGGAGGAAGGCCGUGCGGGCGGGCACGAGUAUCCAUGAUGACUGGAUGAGAGGCUAUCAAGCCGCGUCGAGUUGUUUCGGAUGAUACAUGGGUGAUCAUGGUGCGGUGUGACAGAUGAACCAGGUGAUGUCAAAUCAAGCGCCGUGGUGCUACUUACGUUUCGCGCUCUUCGUCGGCAGAGAAGCAACGAGCAGAAUGACAACAAUCCAGACUACAUACACAAGCGACUACCGUCACCGAGUUUUCCGCCCGAGCAAAAUCUUGUCAUUCACGGAAUUUGAAAAUUCUAGAAAAUAGCGGACUGGCAUGGCCGGGUUGUGAAGAUUGCAUGAUGGAGCCAGGGGCAAGCUUCACGAAGAUAUCCAACGAAUGAUCAUAAUCGUUGGGCAAAAGCUGAGCAUUAUGGGAAGAGGCGGCGGUCAAUGUUGGGUAGUGGCAAAAAACAAAAGUUACCUCUGGAGAGUUAA